GGUGGGGCCCGCUGCCUGGAGCGCAAAGAGCGGGCGCCUGCGUAGUAUAACUCUGGACAAUCCUGCCCCGCCCCCGUGGCCGACCAAUCGGAAGCCUGAUAGGAGACGGAGCUCCCCGAGGGAGGGGAAAAGUGUGAGAACCUGGCGGAAGCACCGCCCCUCGAAGGCUGGUAUCUGGAACCUAUGACCACCUACAGGAACUGCCUUAAGGAGUGGCAAUUUAGUGAAUUCCUUUUGUUCCUGUACGGGGUUUUUUUUCUAUACAGAGAUGGAUGACUAUUCAGCUGGGGCUCAUGGCCGAAAACAUCUGAAAGUAGGUCUGCUCCGAUUAAACUCCGUGCUGUUAAAACUUCUACAACAAAGCAGCGCGGACCAUCUUGCCAAGUCACCCACACCUCUCAGGCUUGGCUGCGCCCCAGAAGGUCGGUUUGCUGCUGUAAUCGUCUCCGGGCACGCCGCCUCCCCUGCCAUACUUGGUGCCACAAGGCACAGCGCCAGCUCACUGAUGAUGGAUGUAGUCUGAAUGAAGUAUAUUAAUGAGGCCCGUUUCAAGGCAGUACAAUGAAGAAGAGACUACAGUGAUAAGAGAUAAACACAUUCAUUCAAGGAGGUGGAACGUGAAGUGGAGCAGAUCCCCAAUCAGAAUGCUCAAUCCUCCAGGACGAUGGGCUCAUUGGUGCUGGCAGGAUGUGAAGAAGCUGGCAGAGGAACUGGGGGCCGCACUGUCAUCAGCGUUGGCUUCACCUUCAGGGAUCAGAAAAUACUUAUAUAAAGCCACUUCUGUGCCAGAGAUGGAGCUCAACAGUAAACCACUUAACCAGAACAUAUGAGGUUCUAGGUUUUGAUCUACAGCACCACCACCAAAAAAACAACAACAAGAAAGAUCAUAAUAAUAAUAAACAUAUACACACAUACUCGAA